GACGAACGCUGGCGGCGUGCUUAACACAUGCAAGUCGAACGAUGAAGCGGGUGCUUGCACUCGUGGAUUAGUGGCGAACGGGCGAGUAACACGUGAGUAACCUGUCCUUUUCUUUGGGAUAACGGCUGGAAACGGCUGCUAAUACUGGAUAUUCAGGCUGCAUCGCAUGGUGUGGUUUGGAAAGGUUUUUUCUGGGAUUGGGUGGGCUCGCGGCCUAUCAGCUUGUUGGUGGGGUGAUGGCUUACCAAGGCUUUGACGGGUAGCCGGCCUGAGAGGGUGGUCGGUCGCACUGGGACUGAGAUACGGCCCAGACUCAUACGGGAGGCAGCAGUGGGGAAUAUUGCACAAUGGACGAAAGUUUGAUGCAGCGACGCCGCGUGGAGGGUGUAGGCCUUCGGGUUGUGAACUCCUUUUUCUCGCGAAAAAGGCACAGUUUUGGCUGUGUUGAUGGUAGUGGGGGAAGAAGCGCCGGCUAACUACGUG
rnacentral:rRNA from 1 species